rnacentral:rRNA from 1 species
GAUGAACGCUAGCGGCAGGCCUAAUACAUGCAAGUCGGACGGGAUUGAGUAGCUUGCUAUUCAUGAGAGUGGCGCACGGGUGCGUAACACGUAUGUAACCUACCCUUGUCAGGGGGAUAGCCUCUCGAAAGAGAGAUUAAGACCGCAUAACAUUGUAAUGUGGCAUCACAAAACAAUCAAAUAUUUGUAGGACAAGGAUGGGCAUGCGGAACAUUAGCUAGUUGGUAAGGUAACGGCUUACCAAGGCUACGAUGUUUAGGGGAUCUGAGAGGAUGACCCCCCACACUGGUACUGAGACACGGACCAGACUCCUACGGGAGGCAGCAGUAAGGAAUAUUGGUCAAUGGGCGGAAGCCUGAACCAGCCAUGCCGCGUGCAGGAAGACGGCCCUAUGGGUUGUAAACUGCUUUUGCAGGGGAAUAAACCUCGAUACGUGUAUCGAGCUGAAUGUACUCUGAGAAUAAGGAUCGGCUAACUCCGUGCCAGCCGCCGCCGUAAGAC